UUGGAUACUCGGCACUAUAGGGGUCGUGGGAGGAACAACCUCCACUCCUUCGCCGAGUCCUGAAAGAACCAAGGUUGAGACUAUGUAUGCAUGACUACCAGAAUAUAUCGAGUACUCACCACUGGUGAUAACAUCAGACAACAAGGCACCAGCAGCCACCACCGGUGUCUUCACGGCAUCUACCAGCUCAGAAACGUAACCUUAUCAACUGAUGACUUAGUAAC
rnacentral:lncRNA from 1 species